rnacentral:lncRNA from 1 species
ACUUCCCCUGUUUCUCCAGAGCUGCAUUUGGGAACUUCCUAGCUCAUCCUUGCGCCUCCCCCACCCCCUUUGCUACUUAAAGUAGAAUUUACUAAUAUAAGGGCAGCUCUUCAUGGAUGUUCACAUCUGUUAUUCUUCUGCUUCUUGUUUUUGUACUGAAGUCCGCUUUUGCGAAUUUUAUUUUGUUUUGGUUUGUUUUGCUGUCUAUGUUUUGUUUGUUUUUAGUUUGGUUGCAUUUUGGUUUCUUUGUUUUUGGGUGGGGGUGGUUAGGAACAAGAAAUGACUCAACUGAACCAAAAUAGCUGUUGAAAGCUACAUCAACACCAGGCAAAAAAGACCAAGGGAAAAUCUUGAUUUUACAAUUGGAAUUGGUUUGGGUGAUGUCAUGCUUAGGAACUAUGACUUCUUUUUGCAAAGACAGUCAUGCUAUGACAGUGAAUAGGGGAAAUGCCUGCCUAUGUGGCAGCUAAAAAGCAUCUCAGUGAUGCUGGUUAUAUUCUGAACCAAAGUAUUUAAAAUGCAAAUCUUCCUGAGUCUUGGCUAAUGGAUUGCUUACCUUGAGACACAUUUGGUUUUACCACUAGCUAAUUCCUUGUGAGAAAAUAAAAGAGUUUCUAUGUGAAAUAUUUUUUAUUUGCACCAUUUUCUCAUCAUGUCCCUGUGUAUUUUAUUUAUUUGAUUAAGAUUUAGUGGUGACC